AGCUUGGCACAGUGGCAGUAUCGUAGCCAAUGAAGUUUAUCCGAGGCACGAUUAGUGCUAAUUAAAAUGUUUUGAACUAUGGGGCUGUUAUUACCGGUUGGAAGUCAGGUCUAUAGAAAUUGAAACUGUAAUACUAGG
ensembl:snRNA U4 U4 spliceosomal RNA